UAUGAAAAGAGGCUGCUUGCUCAAUGUGCCUAAGACCAUCUUUAUUUGUGCUGUUUUAUAAUCUGGGUAAAACUAGGAAUGUAGAAGCAAACUUAGGUCAUAGUGAAGACAGGGAGAAAGGACAGUGCCUGUUACCCAACUGUGUGUAUGCUACAAUAAUGAAGAACACCACCAUUUACAAUGAGUUAGCACAUGAACUUCCCGGAGCUCCAGGGGGAAGCAGAAAUGCAAAUCCAGCCUGACCCUCAAGAUUCUUCAGCAACCCUUCGGUGUUACUUCUUGCUCAACCCAACCUAAUAUACCACCUCCUCCAGGCCUGUUACAAAUGAGAAAAUCAAGGCUCAAAGAUGAAGUGUUCUCUAAGGUCUCAGAGUUAGCUGGUGGCAGAGGUGGGACUAGAAGCUAGGUCUUCUAACUCCUACCCCUGCCCUCUUUCCAAUAUGCAAAUAUCCUGCCUGAUAUGUAUUACAGAUGAUGGUGACAGAAAUCACAAUGGCAGCGAUCACUGACUGGAUGCUUACUCAUGGCCAGAGACAGUAUUAAGUAUUUUUCAUGAAUGAUUUCACAUCAUCCUCAGAAUUUCAAAUCCACCAGGUAGAUGAGGAAACAGAGGCUCAGAAGGAUCAUGCAACUUCACCAAGACCCUGCUGCAGAAUCUUCUUGGGCCGUUACUCCCUCGGAGUGAAGCAAAUCCUUCAUAGGGAAUGCUGGAUGUGCCUGUAACAAAC
rnacentral:lncRNA from 1 species